rfam:Ectocarpus siliculosus strain Ec 32, whole genome shotgun sequence assembly, unassigned sequences LGTn
GUCUAAUUAGUAUAGUGGUCAGUACACCACAUUGUGGCUGUGGAAACCCGAGUUCGAUUCUCGGAUUGGACA